rnacentral:lncRNA from 1 species
ACUAUAUACAAUACAGAAAAGAAGAUACUCUGACUAGUGGAAAUAACUAUAUACAAUACAGAAAAGAAUGAUGUGGUAUGAUUGCAAAUGAGACAACUCUCUAAAAGAUACCAUAUGGCACAGAAAUGAACAACUAUAGGUCACCGUACAGCCUUCAACAAUGAGCAAAGCCCAUGCCACAUAUAAAAGUCCCCGAAAUGACAAUUCAAACGAGAAAACUAACGGUCUAAUGUAUGUCGAAAAAUGAACAAAAACAAAGUAACACAUCAACAAACGACAACCACUGAACUAUUAUAGACUCUUGACUUUGAACAGGCACAAACAAUAAUGUGGCGGGGUUAAACAUGUUAGCGGAAUCUAGAUCUUAACCCGCCCUCUAACUUGGGACAGUGGUGUAACAGUACGACAUCAGAACGAACUAUAAAAUCAGUUGAAAAUGGCUUAACUCAUUAGAUGGAAACAAGUCGAAAUACAUGUAACAAGAGUGGACGUGGACGGGUACUUGUGUUUAUAUAAUAUAUAUUAUUAGAUGAAGACAUUGUCUGAAGUUUUAUUGUUAUUUGGUCAUAACUUUCGUGCUUGUCGUUUUUUAUUUUCUGAUGGGUCAAACACAAAUGCAAUGUUUAACGAUUUUAAUUUGGUUAGACUACACGUCGAAGUUUAGUAUGACGUCCAUUAUCACUGUACUAUUAUGCAUAUUUUAGGGGCCAGCUGAAGGACACCUACGGGUGCGGGAAUUCUCGCUACAUUGAAGAUCACACUUUUCCAGAAAUAUUUUGCUUUAUGUUAAACUCGUCAGAAAAUUAAAAUGAGCAAGAC